UAUAUAAACUGUGUUUUGGAACUAGUAGGUGUGCUCUCCUGCUUGUGGGGCGCCCGCCAUUGCAAUCGCGAACAAAUUACUACUUCACUGAGAUCCUCGCCUGAGCCUAAGUUAUUGGCUACGGAGUUUCUCACACUGUUGACCCAGAACCAGGGAAAAGAGAAAACCCAUUGCCUGAUGAUGAUAUAAACAAAAGAAUAUCCAAAAUUGAUACCAAUUUGGCAAGUAUUGACUUGAUUGGAAAGGAAAACACGAAUCAAUACCAUGAAAAAGGAGAUGGGGGAUUGUGAAAUAUGUUCUUCUGAUUCAUGUUAAUAUGGAACAAUGCUAGGGCCUCAUAAUGAAAUGUGACCUUCUGUCUUACAUCCCCUUGUAUAAAUAACCACAAGUCCAAGAGAAACAGAGUGGUUAGUGUAUAUAGUUCUUGUAUCUUGCCAAAGAGUGGUCUAGCAGUUCGUGUUGAUAGAGGGUUUGAAGGGUAAACCUUGAUACUCGCGUCUGGGAGAUAAGAGAAUAGGGGAGAGUUUUUUGAGAUAAUUGCUGACUAUUGCACGAGACACAACUUUCUGACAUCUGGCCCAGAGGCUACUAAAUAAGGAGGGGGGGGGAAGGUGAAGAACGACCGAAGGACAAAGCCUGGGAGGGAAGACUACGAGCCUUCAGUACGAGACCACCGGAGACUGAUACGUAUGCAUCCGUGGGAUGGUUUGGGUCCCGGGAAACUGAUUAUAAUAACCCUGCCUUUUCCAAAAGUGGUGAUGAAUAUGUAUUAGCCUAGGAGCAUAAAAACCAGCCGCCUGAUGUAACUGGUGUGCGUCUUGGUGGAGCAGAGACUCCCAGCGCACCCAGCGCUGUUUGCUUACCUCUAUUCCUUUAAUAAAUUGUAAACUUUGAUUGUAACCCUAUUCGGGACUCAGUCAUUUAUAACAAUAUACAGUAGCAUGUUUGUCUCUAAUACUUACAAGGCGAAGUUCUGAGAUCAUAUUUCACAGACUGCUUCCUACAGAUUUCAAGAAAUCUAUUUGUUCUGAAGUAUAGCCAUGCUCUAUUACUAUCUAAAGGGAACAAACUGUUUUGAAACCCAUUACAGAUUGGAUUUUUUUUAUUUAUUUAAAUAAGCUUGUCUCUGCAGCUUUCCUUUGUGAUGCUGAUCUUCGGAGAGGCAGAUUCUUAACAAGAUACAAUCAAACUGCAUUUUAUUGUCUAGUUUUGUAUGUUAAAGACUCACAGUAUCUGGGUACAGCAAGGUUCCUAGAUACACUAAAUGACAAGAAUCUUUCUGAAGUAUUCCUUAUUUUUUCAGUGUUCUUUUCAAAUUGUGGACAGCAGGAUGAGGUAGAAUAUCAAACAUGGUGACUGUUUUUUACCCAGAGGACGCUAGUAGGGAAAAGGAGUUGGUCUGAGUUGACCUUGACAUGCUUAAGGGGUUGGCACAUGAGAACCUUGUGAAGUUCAAGAAGGCUAAGUGCAAGGUUCAACACCGUCAUCAAGGCACUCCCAAGAAUGAAUGCAGGCUGGUUGAUGAGUGGAUUGGGAGCAGCCCUGCAGAGAAGGACUUGGGAGUGUUGACGGAUGAAAAGCUCUACAUGAGCCAGCGAUGUGCAGUUGCAAACCAGAAAGACAGCCGUAUCCUGAGCCACAUCAAAAGUAUGACCAGAAGGUCCAGGGAGGUGAUUCUCGCUCUCUACUCCACUCCUGUGAGGCCCCACCUGCAGUGCUGCAUUCAGCUCUGGGGACUCCAACAUAAGAAAUAAAUCUGUUAGAGCAGGUCCAGAGCAGGGCCAUGAAGUUGAUGAGGGCUGGAGGACCUCUCCUAUGAAGACAGGCUGAGAGAACUGGGGUUGCUUAGCCUAGAGAAGAGAGGGCUCUGAGGAGACCUUAUAGUGGCCCUCUAGUACCUAAAGCAGGCUUCGGGUAAGCUGGGGAGGGACGUUUUGUCAGGGAGUGUAAUGACAGGACAAGGAGUAAUGGCUUUAAACUAAAAGGGUAGAUUUAGAUUAGAUAAAAGGAAGAAAUUCUUUACUAUGGGUGGUGAGGCACUGGAACAGGCUGCUUGGUGAAGUUGUGACUGCCCCAUCCCUGGAAGUAUUUAAGGCCAAGUUGGAUGGGGCUUUGAGCAAUCUGGUCUAGUGGGAGGUAUCAUAGAAUCAUAGAAUGAUUUGUGCUGGAAGGGAACUUGAAGGUCAUCUACUCCCCCCUGCAAGGACAUAGGCAAGGACACCUUCUGGUUAUAAACGUAAAAUCAGUGUGAUAAAAUAAAAGGCUUCUGUAUAAGAGAGCACAAGUAAAAUGUUCGUCGUAGGAAGAGCUUAUUAGCUACUUCCAGCCAGAAUGAUUAGGGAUAAGAGUUCUUGCAUCUGAAAUAGUUUUAUACAGCUACCGAAUUUGUGCCAGAGCCUAUGUUCAGGGUUUCCUUUGACUUACUGCAGUCUCCCUUUGCCAGUAGUACCCUGAAGCUCAAGUUUGUUCCUGAAACAUUAAGAUACUUCAUUUCUGGAGUUACACGUUCUGACUCAGAAAAAAUUCUUGGUGCUGUAUAUUAAUAUUGAGUAAGUCAGCAGAAUGCAAAAUCCUGUUCUUACUCUAUUUUGCAGAUGUUAUUCUCCCAGAGGAGUCAGAUCACUUUGUUGUUGUUGUUGUUGUUUUAAUUCCCUUCUGACAGGUGUCUUCUUUGGCCAUAGCUAGUGGAAAUGGCUUGCUAAUAAAAGGAGGGAAAGAGGCAGCAUACAGCAAUCAAAUCCUUCAUCAUCUGACUCAAGAAGCACUCUCCAUUCAUGGAGUCAAAGAUGCAGUGCAAGUAGUAAGUGUCUAGAAUUAAAGCAACAACUUUUGUGCUGUAGCGUGUAGAAAAAGCACAGGCAGAGCUUGAGAAUUCAGGCCAUUGACUGUUUGUGUCACAACUUUCACAUGUGAAUACAAGCAAGGAAGUGGAAGAUCUCUGCCAUUUGGAGAAGCUGAUAGAUCUAAUCAUUCCACAUGGUUCAUCCCAGCUAGUCAGGAAUAUCCAGAAAGCUGCUAAGGGAAUUCCAGUGAUGGGACACAGUGAAGGGAUCUGUCAUGUGUAUGUGGACACAGAUGCCAGCGUGGAGAAGGCCACAUGAAUAAGUAAGCUGUGAGAGGGUGACUUGGAUACCAUGAGUGUAACUGAACUUCACAUUUGGAAUAUGUGGUAUGGUUAUAAUAAUAACCAUACGUAAUAAUAAUUCACAUGCUCUUCAAAUUCUUUGUCAUAAAUGUUAUGUAACCAAUUGUUUACUCUUAAACCUCAGUCAGAGACUGUGUGAAUAUACUGCUGCCUGUAAUGCUCGGGAAACACUCCUAAUUCACUGAGACCUGCUGAGAACCCUGUUGUUUGAUCAGAUCAUAGACAUGUUGAGAGUAGAACAGAAUACCCUGAGUUGCAAAGGACCCAUGAGGAUUACCAAGUUCAACCCCUAGCUCCACACAGGACCACCCAGAAAUCAGACCAUACAUCUUGGAGCAUUGCCCAAACACUUCUUGAACUCCAGCAGGCUCAGUGCUGUGACCACUGUCCUGGGAGCCUGUUCCAGUGCACAUCCACCUCUUGGUGCAGAACCUUUCCCUGACGUCUAGCCUGACCCUCCCCUGUCACAGCUCUAUGCCAUUCCCUUGGGUCCUGUCUCUGUCACCUGAGAGAAGAGAUCAGCACCUGCUCCUCCACUCCUCCCUCUCAUUGUUAAGGUGUCUUAGCUGCUACGAUUAAAUUCAGAGAUUGAUGAUGCAUUAGAUCUUCUUCAUCAGGAUCGUAAAAUAACUGAAAGUCCUUGCCUUGUUUUGGGCCCAGUAACUCUUUUGUGUCUGAAACAUACACUUUGGAGAGGGCUGGUGUCAGUUUACAAAAGAAAAGAAUAAAAACAGGUGAAGAUUCAUGCUGGCCCAAAGUUUGCCUCUUACUUGACAUUCAACCCCUCAGAAGUGAAAUCUCUCCACGAUGAAUAUGGGGAUCUGGAGAGCUGCAUUGAGGUUGUGGACAGUGUACAAGAGGCUGUCGAACAUAUCCACAAGUAUGGAAGUUCUCACCUGGAUGUUACUGUCACGGAGAAUGAGAAAACAGCGGAGUUCUUCCUCCAGCAUGUGGACAGUGCUUGGAAUGCCAGUAACCGAUUCUCUGAUGGAUAGAGAUUUGUACUCUGUGCUGAAGUUGGAAUUAGUACUUCUCGUAUCCAUGCAUGCGAACCAGUGGGAAUUGAAGGACUCUGAACUACAAAGCGGUUACCGAGAGGGGACAAUCAUGUUGUUUCUGACUUCUCAGAGCAUGGGAGCAUGAAGUAUCCCCAUGAAAGCCUACCUCUCCCUCAGAGAAAUACCGAGUACAUUGAGAAAACUCAUCAAUAAAAUGUUUAUUGAAGAC